ACGUUUUUUUCACUCAGGCAUA
rnacentral:miRNA from 1 species